AUGAACGCUGACAGAAUGCUUAACACAUGCAAGUCUACUUGAACUUCGGUUUGGGUGGCGGACGGGUGAGUAACGCGUAAAGAACUUGCCUCACAGAUAGGGACAACAUUUGGAAACGAAUGCUAAUACCUGAUAUUAUGAUUUUAGGGCAUCCUAGAAUUAUGAAAGCUAUAUGCACUGUGAGAGAGCUUUGCGUCCCAUUAGCUAGUUGGAGAGGUAACGGCUCACCAAGGCGAUGAUGGGUAGCCGGCCUGAGAGGGUGAUCGGCCACAAGGGGACUGAGACACGGCCCUUACUCCUACGGGAGGCAGCAGUGGGGAAUAUUGGACAAUGGACCAAGAGUCUGAUCCAGCAAUUCUGUGUGCACGAUGAAGUUUUUCGGAAUGUAAAGUGCUUCCAGUUGGGAAGAAAAAAAUGACGGUACCAACAGAAGAAGUGACGGCUAAAUACGUG
rnacentral:rRNA from 1 species